rnacentral:misc_RNA from 1 species
GGCGGAUGUCGCCCGCACCUGGCCCGACAUGCGCCUCAACGGCUACCAAUGGCUCGGCGAGCGGUAUGUUGCCCACCGGGCUACACUCGGCUACAAGAGCGUGGCGCAAACGCCUUCCGACGGCGCCUACCAGGUCAUCCAGUGGGCCUUUGCGAACGUCGAGCCCGGCAAGCGCGUGGUAACCUAUCUGCGGGAGAGAAAGGUAACUCACUUCAUGGGCCCCAGUGCCCCCAAACGGUUCGAGGUGCACAACGGCUUCGAGCCCGGCCGCGGUAUCGACGAGGCCGACUACGUCCUGCU